GGAAACUGGAGCGCUAGAGGGCGACAGGGGUAGAGGGAAUUCCCAGUGUAGCGGUGAAAUGCGUAGAGAUUGGGAAGAACACCGGUGGCGAAAGCGCUCUACUGGGUCGCACCUGACCCUCAGGGACGAAAGCUAAGGUAGCGAAAGGGAUUAGAUACCCCUGUAGUUUUAGCCGUAAACGAUGGAUACUAGGCGUGGUUUGUAUCGACCCAAGCCGUGCCGAAGCUAACGCGUUAAGUAUCCCGCCUGGGGAGUACGCACGCAAGUGUGAAACUCAAAGGAAUUGACGGGGGCCCGCACAAGCGGUGGAGGAUGUGGUUUAAUUCGAUGCAACGCGAAGAACCUUACCAGGGCUUGACAUCCCGCGAAUCUUGCUGAAAGGCGAGAGUGCCUUCGGGAGCGCGGAGACAGGUGGUGCAUGGCUGUCUUCAGCUCGUGUCGUGAGAUGUUGGGUUAAGUCCCGCAACGAGCGCAACCCUCGUCCUUAGUUGCCAGCAUUAAGUUGGGCACUCUAGGGAGACUGCCGGUGACAAACCGGAGGAAGGUGAGGAUGACGUCAAGUCAGCAUGCCCCUUAUGCUCUGGGCAACACACGUCCUACAAUGGUCGGGACAAAGGGGAGCAAGCUCGCGAGAGUAAGCGAAUCCCAGCAAACUCGGCCUCAGUUCAGAUUGCAGGCCGCAACUCGCCUGCAGAAGGAGGAAUCG
rnacentral:rRNA from 1 species